rnacentral:rRNA from 1 species
UACGAAGGGGGCUAGCGUUGCUCGGAAUCACUGGGCGUAAAGCGCACGUAGGCGGACUCUUAAGUCGGUGGUGAAAUCCUGGAGCUCAACUCCAGAACUGCCUUCGAUACUGAAGAUGUCUCGAGUCCGGGAGAGGUGAGUGGAACUGCGAGUGUAGAGGUGAAAUUCGUAGAUAUUCGCAAGAACACCAGUGGCGAAGGCGGCUCACUGGCCCGGUACUGACGCUGAGGUGCGAAAGCGUGGGGAGCAAACAGG